rnacentral:rRNA from 1 species
AAACUUUCAACAACGGAUCUCUUGGUUCUGGCAUCGAUGAAGAACGCAGCGAAAUGCGAUAAGUAGUGUGAAUUGCAGAAUUCAGUGAAUCAUCGAAUCUUUGAACGCACAUUGCGCCCUUUGGUAUUCCUCAGGGCAUGCCUGUUCGAGCGUCAUUU